CCAUGCAGGAGAGAGAGAGAGAGAGAGAGAGAGAGAGAGAGAGAGAGAGAGAGAUUUGAGAACUUCUUCUCCAAUCUGAAGUGAGAUCAGAGGGCUUGUUAGUGACACCUCUGCCUCCUUUUUAAAAUUAGUUUCUAUUAAAGAUUGUCAUGUUGCAAAACAAGCAAAUAAACAAGGGAAAGUACAUAUAGCGUCUCUUCUUUCUUUCUUUCUUUCUUUCUUUCUUUCUUUCUUUCUUUCUUUCUUUCU